rnacentral:lncRNA from 1 species
GCUAACCUGAAGUUCGUGCAACGAAUUACAAAUAUAAAUCGAACUUUCGGUAUCCAAUACCCAAGUAGAAGUAUCAUGACAGAGAAAUUAUAAGAUGUUAUCAUAUAAGUACCUUGUCCAAUAACUCUUUACUGAUUUCUCUUUCUAGACCUGUUCAAAUUAAGAAAAACUAGAUAUAAAGGAUAAUUUCUUUUUUAGUGCCCCAACUUCUUAUAAAAAAAGUAUUCUAUCUGAC